rnacentral:rRNA from 1 species
CGCGUAGGCGGUUAAUUAAGUUAGAUGUGAAAUCCCUGGGCUUAACCUAGGAACUGCAUCUGAAACUGAUUAGCUGGAGUACAGUAGAGGGUAGUGGAAUUUCCGGUGUAGCGGUGAAAUGCGUAGAUAUCGGAAGGAACACCAGUGGCGAAGGCGGCUACCUGGACUGAUACUGACGCUGAGGCGCGAGAGCGUGGGAGCAAACA